ensembl:lncRNA
AAACUAACUGCUGCUUGGGGUUUGACUUGUUAUUGGUUAGCUGGUGGUGAGAGGUUGUGUUGUGAGGGAGGGUGUUUGUGUGCAAGCAGUUGUAUUGUUAGCUGGACAUUGGUUGCUAGUUGAGUAGUAGUUGCAUUGCAAACAUAUGUAUAUAUAUAGAGAGAGAGAGAGAGAGAUCACUUUCUUUUUCUUUUCUUUUCUUUUUUUUUUUGUUUGUUUUCCAUCAUUUCUGUCCUAGUAAAUAAUUUUAUAUCACUCCAUGAGUGUUUUGUUUCUAAUUCUCUUCCCCCAUCUCACUUGGAGGGGAGUGAGUAGAGGUCUGUAUGGUAUCUAGCUGCCUGCCAAGUUGAACCACACAUUUUCAGCCCCAAACUAUGCCUGACUUUUUUCUGGGAACAGGCUAUCCUCUCUGGGACAAAGCAUGCUUUAAGGCAUCUAGCCCAAGGAAAUUUAUGUCAGCAUUCAAGCUCAUGGCUUUUUUAAUUUUCUGGGUCUGAAGUCUAAGAGGUGCCAUUUUGUGAAACUCCUCUUCUUAAAGAAUAUUAUACAUAGCAGCUUGGAUCUAUAGAGGAAAGUGGUCUACUUCAAGAGAAAGUAUCUUCCUUUCAAGAUGUGAUCUUGGAACUGGAAGAAGUGCUGUGCCUUUCUAAUCGUUAUCCAGUAUCUUGGAAAUGUCUGCUGAUUAGUUCACCUCAUACGUCCUCCAUUUUAGGAGAGGCUAACUGUGGCUUAAAGGAAAGAAAAAAAUGCAUAUAACUGCAACACAAAACAUCAUCAAGCCAGCAGAAAAGAUCUCUUCUGAAAAUCUUACUGCUUCUCUGACAACCACCACUACAGAAAUGUUUCAUGCCUUUCAAACAACAUCUGAGGGUGUUACAUUUCCCGUGUUCUCUGUCUGCGUUCCAAACUCUGUCAAGGAUAAAUCUAGUACAUAAAGGGAGGAAAAAAAGAAAAAGAAAGAAUCUCUGUUCUACUUUUGCCUUAGACCUAAGGAGCAAUUGCCCUAUUCUGUUUGAAGCAUAUUUAUGAAUCUGUUGUAAACAGGUUUACAUUAAAUAGGGAAAUGUAUUUAAUACAAUAAGAAUGGCUAAUAUUGGAGAAGGCAAAUAUGACUAUUAAUGCCAUGAUCUUUUAAAAUUAUUUCCUGUUUGUAUUUAAUUCUGAAUGAAAGUAUUAUCAUAGGUUUAAAGCUAUGUUAAUUUAUUUUAAUGUUGUGUGUAUUAAUAAAAUCACAAAA